UUUGCGUCGAAGGUAUACCGGUAAGGAGUGCUGGAGCGAAUAGAAGUGAGCAUGCAGGCAUGAGUAGCGAUAAUUAAUGUGAGAAUCAUUAACGCCGUAAACCCAAGGUUUCCUACGCGAUGCUCGUCAUCGUAGGGUUAGUCGGGUCCUAAGUCGAGUCCGAAAGGGGUAGACGAUGGCAAAUUGGUUAAUAUUCCAAUACCAACAUUAGUGUGCGAUGGAAGGACGCUUAGGGCUAAGGGGGCUAGCGGAUGGAAGUGCUAGUCUAAGGUCGUAGGAGGUUAUACAGGCAAAUCCGUAUAACAAUACUCCGAGAACUGAAAGGCUUUUUGAAGUCUUCGGAUGGAUAGAAGAACCCCUGAUGCCGUCGAGCCAAGAAAAGUUUCUAAGUUUAGCUAAUGUUGCCCGUACCGUAAACCGACACAGGUGGGUGGGAUGAGUAUUCUAAGGCGCGUGGAAGAACUCUCUUUAAGGAACUCUGCAAAAUAGCACCGUAUCUUCGGUAUAAGGUGUGGUUAGCCUUGUAUUAGGAUUUACUCCGAAAGCAAGGAAACUUACAACAAAGAGUCCCUCCCGACUGUUUACCAAAAACACAGCACUCUGCUAACUCGUAAGAGGAUGUAUAGAGUGUGACGCCUGCCCGGUGCUCGAAGGUUAAUUGAUGGGGUUAGCAUUAGCGAAGCUCUUGAUCGAAGCCCGAGUAAACGGCGGCCGUAACUAUAACGGUCCUAAGGUAGCGAAAUUCCUUGUCGGUUAAAUACCGACCUGCAUGAAUGGCGUAACGAGAUGGGAGCUGUCUCAAAGAGGGAUCCAGUGAAAUUGUAGUGGAGGUGAAAAUUCCUCCUACCCGCGGCAAGACGGAAAGACCCCGUGGACCUUUACUACAGCUUGACACUGCUACUUGGAUAAGAAUGUGCAGGAUAGGUGGGAGGCUUUGAGUAUAUGACGCCAGUUGUAUAUGAGCCAUUGUUGAGAUACCACUCUUUCUUAUUUGGGUAGCUAACCAGCUUGAGUUAUCCUCAAGUGGGACAAUGUCUGGUGGGUAGUUUGACUGGGGCGGUCGCCUCCCAAAUAAUAACGGAGGCUUACAAAGGUUGGCUCAGAACGGUUGGAAAUCGUUCGUAGAGUAUAAAGGUAUAAGCCAGCUUAACUGCAAGACAUACAAGUCAAGCAGAGACGAAAGUCGGUCUUAGUGAUCCGGUGGUUCUGUGUGGAAGGGCCAUCGCUCAAAGGAUAAAAGGUACCCCGGGGAUAACAGGCUGAUCUCCCCCAAGAGCUCACAUCGACGGGGAGGUUUGGCACCUCGAUGUCGGCUCAUCGCAUCCUGGGGCUGGAGCAGGUCCCAAGGGUAUGGCUGUUCGCCAUUUAAAGCGGUACGCGAGCUGGGUUCAGAACGUCGUGAGACAGUUCGGUCCCUAUCUGCCGUGGGCGUAAGAAGAUUGAAGAGAUUUGACCCUAGUACGAGAGGACCGGGUUGAACAAACCACUGGUGUAGCUGUUGUUCUGCCAAGAGCAUCGCAGCGUAGCUAAGUUUGGAAAGGAUAAACGCUGAAAGCAUCUAAGCGUGAAGCCAACUCUAAGAUGAAUCUUCUCUAAGCUCUCUAGAAGACUACUAGUUUGAUAGGCUGGGUGUGUAAUGGAUGAAAGUCCUUUAGCUGACCAGUACUAAUAGAGCGUUUGGCUUAUCUUUAAUAAAGCAU
rnacentral:rRNA from 1 species